rnacentral:tRNA from 1 species
GGCCGGAUGGCAGAGUGGUUAUGCAGCGGAUUGCAAAUCCGCGUACGCCGGUUCGAUUCCGACUCCGGCCUCCA